GACGAACGCUGGCGGCGUGCUUAACACAUGCAAGUCGAACGGAAAGGCCCUGCUUUUGUGGGGUGCUCGAGUGGCGAACGGGUGAGUAACACGUGAGUAACCUGCCCUUGACUUUGGGAUAACUUCAGGAAACUGGGGCUAAUACCGGAUAGGAGCUCCUGCUGCAUGGUGGGGGUUGGAAAGUUUCGGCGGUUGGGGAUGGACUCGCGGCUUAUCAGCUUGUUGGUGGGGUAGUGGCUUACCAAGGCUUUGAGGGGUAGCCGGCCUGAGAGGGUGACCGGCCACAUUGGGACUGAGAUACGGCCCAGACUCCUACGGGAGGCAGCAGUGGGGAAUAUUGCACAAUGGGCGGAAGCCUGAUGCAGCAACGCCGCGUGCGGGAUGACGGCCUUCGGGUUGUAAACCGCUUUCGCCUGUGACGAAGCGUGAGUGACGGUAAUGGGUAAAGAAGCACCGGCUAACUACGUG
rnacentral:rRNA from 1 species